rnacentral:rRNA from 1 species
AGAGUUGAUCCUGGCUCAGGAUGAACGCUAGCGGCAGGCCUAACACAUGCAAGUCGAGGGGUAGAGUUAGCUUGCUAACUUGAGACCGGCGCACGGGUGCGUAACGCGUAUGCAAUCUACCUUGUACAGAGGGAUAGCCCAGAGAAAUUUGGAUUAAUACCUCAUAGUAUAUUUGAAUCGCAUGGUUUAAAUAUUAAAGUUCCAACGGUACAAGAUGAGCAUGCGUCCCAUUAGUUAGUUGGUAAGGUAACGGCUUACCAAGACAAUGAUGGGUAGGGGUCCUGAGAGGGAGAUCCCCCACACUGGUACUGAGACACGGACCAGACUCCUACGGGAGGCAGCAGUGAGGAAUAUUGGUCAAUGGACGCAAGUCUGAACCAGCCAUGCCGCGUGCAGGAAGACGGUCCUAUGGAUUGUAAACUGCUUUUAUACAGGAAGAAACCACUCUACGUGUAGAGUCUUGACGGUACUGUAGGAAUAAGGAUCGGCUAACUCCGUGCCAGCAGCCGCGGUAAUACGGAGGAUCCAAGCGUUAUCCGGAAUCAUUGGGUUUAAAGGGUCCGUAGGCGGCCUUAUAAGUCAGUGGUGAAAUCUCCUAGCUCAACUAGGAAACUGCCAUUGAUACUGUAGGGCUUGAAUUCUUAUGAAGUAACUAGAAUAUGUAGUGUAGCGGUGAAAUGCUUAGAUAUUACAUGGAAUACCAAUUGCGAAGGCAGGUUACUAAUAAGACAUUGACGCUGAUGGACGAAAGCGUGGGGAGCGAACAGGAUUAGAUACCCUGGUAGUCCACGCCGUAAACGAUGGAUACUAGCUGUUCGGGCGCAAGUUUGAGUGGCUAAGCGAAAGUGAUAAGUAUCCCACCUGGGGAGUACGCACGCAAGUGUGAAACUCAAAGGAAUUGACGG